ACAGACGUGAUUGGGUGGGAGGAGGUGAUGGAGGAAGAGGGUGGAGCCUUCGGGAGGGAGAAAUCAAAGUGAUUGGCCUGGAGAGUUUGGGGCGGAGACACCAACGCUGCCUAGCUGGUCGGGGCGGGGCCGCAGAUACAAUACACCGAUUGGAUCUUUGAAAGAAAGGGCGGGGCUGAUGGAGGUGUUAAAGGAGGCAAGAUGCGCCGCUAAAGUUGGCAGCACUGGAAGAACAAAGGAGGAGGGACUAAAUUUGAGAAAGAGAUCUGAUUGAACUGAAAAAAAGAGGGGCGGGCAGAGGAAGGGGGACAAGUCCAAGCUAUUUAAAGGAGCCUGACUGUCCGUGGCUGGCUGAGAGUGGGGCGGUGCCACAAUGGGGUCCAGAUUGAAUAGAGAAGGGCCGCAGGUCCAGACCUAAAGAGCCAGCAGGCAGUUCCCAGGGGAGAGGGGUAGAUGGAGAUGGCCGGGUUGGGCUUCUAACGUUGCUUGAACGGGGCAGGGCGGAUCUUAAGAAGAGGCAGAGCCACAGAAAUUAGAAAUUGUCCUAAUUGGGCUGGAAGAGUGAGGAGGCGGGACUGAACGAGGGGCGGGAACUGGAAAUAGAGAGUGGAGAGUACUUUCGCGCGAAAUGGCAUUAGACUGGACUGAAAGGGAACAGGAUAAGGGGAACAGAGACUGAGACCCAGUGAGAGGGGCGGAAAUGAACGAGGCCUAGAACCUGAGAGCUUCUAGUUAGGACUCAGGGAGGAGGCGAGGUAAAGAAGGCGUGGGGUGGGAGCUGCAAGCUUGGCCCGAUUAGCCGGGGCUUGGGCUCGGAGAAUGUCAGGAUGGAUGGGAAAGGACUGAGGAAGCUGGGUGGGUGGGGGUCUACAAAUGGUAGAAAACGUCUUGAAUGGACUGUGGAAAAGCAAGACUAAGGGAGGAGCAGGGCUUUAAGGGACUUGAAAGCAACCAGGCUAGGCCGGGCUAAGAGUGUAGAGAAUGGCCAAGGAAAGUGGGAGACCUGCGAAGAGUACCAAGCUACUGGGCUGGACGGAACUGUGGGACCUGAAACGAGGAGUCUGAGGGACCAGAGAACAUGGGAAAGAGACUUAAGGGUCCGAAGGAUCUCAGAGUGGGGGACGAGAGCUUCUAAUUGGUGAGGGAAAGGGGGCGAGCUCUAGAUAACGACGGACUGCAGGCAGGAGAACCAAGGGAAGGAAGAGAAGCGGUAAGGAGAGUGUCCUCAGGAAGGCGGAGAGGAGAACCCGAAACACCGGCAAGUACAGCCUCGGCGAAGGCAAUAGGCGGGACCAAUGGGAAACUGGGCGGGGUAGAGAGUCCUGGGGGGAGGGCAGAGAAAUAGAGCGUUGGGGCGGGGCUAAUAGAGGGCGGGACCUGAACACUGCGGACCGCGGAGGCGAGGGUCCAGCGCCGCCCUUGGGGCCGGCCUAGACGCCGGGUGGUCUGGGGCGCAGGCGCUGGGGGCUGAGGCGGAGGCAGCGGCAGCGGCCGCGUCUGCGGCGGCGGGGGGGGGAGGCGGUGCCUGUGGGAGCGAAGGGGGCGGGUCAGGGGUUGCGGACGUCCCCGCGCGGCAUUGUCCCCAGCCCGCCACCUCCCACUGCAGGUGCGGCGGCUGGUUGGUAUCGCCUCCCUACCCACCCCCGCUCCCGUUUCUGUGUCUCUUCGUGUCUCUCUUUCUCCCCUUUCUCUGAAUAUUUGUCCCCUUGUCUCUGCCCUCACCCCUUUGAGACUCCGGCCCCUUCUAAGUCUCUGCGCUCCUUUUGGGUCUCUGUCCCAUUGUUCUAUGAAUCUGUCCCCCCCCUCCUUCAGAGGCUUCCCCCUCUUCUCUCUAAGCCUAAGUCUCCUCCCCCACGACCGCGUCUCGGUCUCCGCAUCCACCCCGUCUCUUUCUCUUGGCUUCUGUACCUUUUGCUAGGACUUGGGUCUCUGUUCCCUGCAACCUCUGCCCCUCUUUGUGACUCUGUCCUCCACUCCCCCCACUCCACUCCCCCCACCCCCACCCCAGAGUGUGUUCCCUCCUCACUCUGGGUCUCUGCCCUUCUUCCAUCUGGGUCUCUGUCCUCGCCCUUGUUCUUUGACUACCUCCCGCUCUGUGUCUUUCUCCCGUCCUCCGUCUUCCCCCCCUCCGCCUUCCCCCCUCCUCCGUCUCCCCCCUCCCCGUGCCUGCCUUUUCUUUUUACGUCCUUUGUCCCUUUCCCUUCCCUGGGUCUCCACACACCCCCAUCCCGUGCCUCUUUCAUCCUUUUCUGAAUCUCUGCCCCCUUGUUCUGGGUCUCUUUUCCCACUUUCAUUGGGACUCUGUCCUGCCGUCCUUCAGUCUCUGUCCCUCUCUCUCUGGAUCUCUGUCCCGUUCUCUCAGGCUCCCACCCCAUCACCCCCCUUAACCCUCAUCCUGGCCCGGACUCGAGGCUGCGUCACUGCAGAGAGUGGCAGAAGUGCGACCUGUCCUGCGGACCAGGGAGGUAGUUUUCCCUCAACUCUCCCACCCCCGAUCCAGUAUCUUCGGGCAGCCUUCAAGCCCCCAUGAGACCCAGGAGGACAGAGAAAAGACAGUGGGGCUUCCUGCUCUUCUCUGCCCUGAAUUCUAAUGGCUCCCCAGGCCGAAGCAGUGACUCCCGAGCAGCCAGGCACGGGAUCAAGUUACCAAAUCAGCGUUUUUGCAGAGGUCAGAAGGUGUGGGAGAAGGUGGGGCUGGGGAGAAGAGGAGUGAGGAGGCUGGAAUAGAGGAGAAUAUGGAAUGAGACUCGGGAUUAGAGACCAUGGGAUGAGGGCGGGGGGAGAGGGGGCGCUUGGUCAGGGAGUAUUAGGAUCGCCCAGACUCCAUCAGGCCCUGGGAAAUCGGGAUGCCCCUGGCUCUCACAUGGCCCUCCCAGGCCCCACCAGGCUAUACGGGGGAUUUGUCAGCCUGAAUUUUUCACCCAUAGGAGAGGCUUCUGGAGGCAAUAAUGAGGGCUCGCGUUAUGGGACACGCAGCUCUGCAAACAGACCAGGGGGAAGUGGACUCGAUUUUUUGGCGACAGACACCAGGAGAAGGGAGGCCAGUGUUUGCUCAUGUCUUUAGACCCUUUCCCCAUCUCGCCGCUUAUCUUUUCUCAGGUCCUCAAGGCACCAAAUUCCUGAAAGCCCCAAACUCAUCUCCAUCAUCCUUGGUGCCCCUUCCUAACUUCCCUUCCCCCAUUCCCCAAAGCCCUGGAAUUGGGGAAGGGUCUUCCCCUUUCGGACUUCUAGGGCCCUUUCCUCCACCCCCGCUCCUAUCAGUUCCAAAUCCAGGAAAGAUGAUCUCCUGGGCACUAAAGCUGAAAAUAUGGGGACUCUGCCUACGACCCUUGGUCCCUGGAGACCCUCCAAGUACAUCUCCGCUGUAAUCUUUGAGUCCCCAUCUCCCGAGUUCCCCGCUUCCAAAACUGGGAUUUGAGCUGGUUUACCGCCCCCGGACCCUGAGCCAUCUCCUCCCCCGUACUCACCCCAAGUCGAGGCGGGGCGGGGAUGGGGGAAUCCGGGGCUGGCGAUGGGGGGAGGGGUGACCCAGUCUCCGCAGCUCUGGGCAGCAAGAAGCUGCGGAGGGGGGCAGUGACAUCAUCGCUGGAGGAGGGGCAGCUCAGCUCCCCUCUACCCGGGGGCUUCAAGCCCCGCCUUUAUGGCGUACUCAGGGGUCCCGGAAUCUCAAGGAUAGACGGGAAGACCUGGACAUGAAGUGUGCAGGAAUGGUAUCCUCUCCCCUUAGAACAAGGGUUGGAAAACCCUUUACGACUUCAGCCACCACCCCCACUGCCACCUGUCGCUGCCGUCGCGACCUGUCGCCUCCCACGCGUGUUGUGGCUGCGCCCGCCUCCGUCAGAGCGUGAACACCGCCUAGACUACAAGAUCCGUGAUGCUCUGCGGUGUCGCGUGCCUUCGAGGGGAGGCAGUGCAGGCGAGGGGCUUCAUGGGCUUCGUAGUAUAAGGCCUCUGCACGGAGUGAGCCUUGGGAAAAAGGAACGAUACCUUUCUCCUUCCUUUCUUCCUCAACUCCGGAGGGCCAGAUGAUAACUUUCCCCUGCAAAGAUCAUGCGCUUAAAAAAAAAAAAGUAGAAAGAGGCCCAGGUAGGUUCAAUGGAAACAACGGAUUUUUACUGAGUAGCGGGGCCUCGGCGAUCACCCAGUGCGCAUGCACCUAACGGGGGGGGGGGUUUCCUCAGCCGGAAAACUGCGCCUGCGCAAACCCACCCCUUCUCUGGCCUACUCCACGAGCUCGAGCGCGCGCCAGCCCAACUCGGGCAUCGCUUUUUCUGUCGCCACGGUCGAAGACGGCCACGUAGCUACCCAAGAAGACAUCGCCGAGGAUCCAGAGGGGCCCUGUGGGCGGAGGCAUGUCCAGAGCCUGGAAGCCGGAUAAGCAGAGACUGGCGCCACCCCGAGUAAUCUACAAAACGAUAAGACGGGCCAUGGGUGUCACGCCCCCCCCCUUCCUUUUCCUUUGGAGACAGAGCUUCGCCCCUCCCACUACCCUGGGCACUAGAAAUGUUUCGUGGCCCCUGUUUCGUCCUAGUGAUGUCUCACUCCCAGCCCCACCCUCUCAAACCCAUCUGAUUGCGUCACUGUGACGUCUUUGUGAUGGUGACCUACCUGGAUGACAUAGUCCUGGGCCGUGAGGUUAAACCAGACCCCCCCAAGGUGGAAGGAGACUGGGGGCAGCGUUGGGAUUUUCGAGCACUGGAUGAGGUACUGAGGGAAAAGGUGAACAAAUGGAAAUGAGGGAUUCUUGCUCUGCUCAAAUCCUUUCCGUGGCUCCGCAGUGCAAUAGGGUAAUAUCAAUUUGGGGCAGUUAGGUAGUCAGGGCCUUGGGUGGCCUGCUGCCUUCUCUAGCCUUAGUGGCUCUUCCUCCACCCCUGUGUAACUGUUGCCUCUUCCCCUAGGCUCCCAUUUGAUAAAAACAUCUUUUCCUCUUUUUUUGAAUUGUAAAUCAAAAAAGUGGUGGGCCAUGGGCCAUAGUGGGCCCGCAGGUGUAUAUUUAAUUAUCUUAUACCGUGUCCAGAACGUUUUAAGAAUUUGUGGGCAGGGGGUUCCCAUCAUGGCUCAGCGGUUAACCAACCGGAGUAGUUGGUCCAUGAGGAUGUGGGUUCAUCCAUGGCCGGCAGCUACAGCUCCAAUUCGACACCUAGCCUAGGUACCUCCAUGUGCUCCAUGUGCAGCCCCAAAAAGACAAAAAAAAAAAAAAAGGAAUUUGUGGCCAGUUGUAUCCUGUGGAGUCUGCUGCUGUGUCAUCUUAGGCAAGUUCCUUAACCGCUCUGUGCCAGUUUCCAAUCUGAAGAUGUAGACAGUCGUACUCACAGGGAUGUCGUGUGAGAAAUAAACAAGCUUUGGAAGAA